UGGGGAAUAUUGCACAAUGGGGGAAACCCUGAUGCAGCGACGCCGCGUGAACGAAGAAGGUAUUCGUAUCGUAAAGUUCUGUCCUAUGGGAAGAUAAUGACAGUACCAUAGAAGAAAGCUCCGGCUAAAUACGUGCCAGCAGCCGCGGUAAUACGUAUGGAGCGAGCGUUGUCCGGAAUUAUUGGGCGUAAAGGGUACGCAGGCGGUUUAAUAAGUCGAAUGUUAAAGAUCGGGGCUCAACCCCGUAUAGCAUUGGAAACUGAUAAACUUGAGUAGUGGAGAGGAAAGUGGAAUUCCUAGUGUAGUGGUGAAAUACGUAGAUAUUAGGAGGAAUACCAGUAGCGAAGGCGACUUUCUGGACACAAACUGACGCUGAGGUACGAAAGCGUGGGGAGCAAACAGG
rnacentral:rRNA from 1 species